rnacentral:rRNA from 1 species
AGAUUGAACGCUGGCGGCAGGCUUAACACAUGCAAGUCGAGCGGGGAAAUGUAGCUUGCUACAUUACCUAGCGGCGGACGGGUGAGUAAUGCUUAGGAAUCUGCCUAUUAGUGGGGGACAACAUUUCGAAAGGAAUGCUAAUACCGCAUACGCCCUACGGGGGAAAGCAGGGGAUCUUCGGACCUUGCGCUAAUAGAUGAGCCUAAGUCGGAUUAGCUAGUUGGUAGGGGUAAAGGCCUACCAAGGCG